CACACGCACACACACACACGCACACACACACACACACACACACUGAUAACCGUGUGCCCGUCUGGCGUGACACAGCCCAGCAAACUACGGACUGGCUUUAUCUUUGGCUGCGUGAUUUCAUCAGCUUUACAACAGCCUCGCUGCUUACGCUUUCAUAUCCUGAAAUGAGAGAUGAGUCUGCUGGGAAGAUCUCAUAGUUUCUGAAUUUCCUCAGAAGGUCUGAUGGAGCAUCGCCUGACCAGCGGAAACGCAAGUGCCAGUAAUUCCCCUCUGAAAAUCCUGAGGG